GGGCACCUACGGGGGCCUAUAACAUCAGGUUCCUAUCUAGGGACCGCCAAGCAAACGGAAGAAGCUAA
ncrna:unclassified sequences L2-Alphaproteobacteria ribosomal protein leader